UGCGCAGGCGCGGAGCUGCCGCGGUCAUAGGAGGGCGCGAGCAGCUUGGCUGGCUAGGGCUUGUAGAGUUGCCCUGGUACCCUAGUAUUCCUAAUUGCAAAAUCUUUAUGAAGCUUAAGAAAAAAAUCACCAGCCUGGGCAACCUGGGGAGGCCCCGUCUCUACAAAAAAAUUAAAAAAUUAGCCGAGUGUGGUGGCGUGCACCUGUGGUCCAGCUACUAUGGAGGCUGAGGCAGGAGGAUUGCUUAGGUCCAGGAGUUCGAGGCUGCAAUGAGCUAUGAACGUGCCACUACACUCCACCCUGAGCCACAGAGCAAGACCCUGUUUCAAAUAAAAUUUAAAAAAAGUUACUGAAAUACAGAUGUGCAAUUUUAUUCCUUAGCCUAGUCUCACCUCUGCUGCAUGUGACUAUUGUUCACAUAUUAAUUCCACCACAAUUUAAGGUCCUCCUGUGUGCCAGGCAAGCACCCUUAACAAAAGCUGGGGAAACAACCAGGAACAAGACAGACGCUGUGCCUUCCCUCAUGGGGAUUACUUUCUAGUUGAGAAAGCAAACAUUAAAUGUAGAAGGAAAGGCCGGGCGCGGUGGCUCACGCUUGUAAUCCCAGCACUUUGGGAGGCCGAGGCAGGCGGAUCACAAAGUCAGGAGAUCGAGACCAUCCUGGCUAACACGGUGAAACCCCGUCUCUACUAAAAAUACAAAAAA
rnacentral:lncRNA from 1 species